rnacentral:miRNA from 1 species
AACCAAUUAGAAAAUAACAAGUGG